rnacentral:rRNA from 1 species
GAUGAACGCUGGCGGCGUGCCUAAUACAUGCAAGUCGAGCGAACAGACGAGGAGCUUGCUCCUCUGACGUUAGCGGCGGACGGGUGAGUAACACGUGGAUAACCUACCUAUAAGACUGGGAUAACUUCGGGAAACCGGCGCUAAUACCGGAUAAUAUAUUGAACCGCAUGGUUCAAUAGUGAAAGACGGUUUUGCUGUCACUUCUAGAUGGAUCCGCGCCGCAUUAGCUAGUUGGUAAGGUAACGGCUUACCAAGGCGACGAUGCGUAGCCGACCUGAGAGGGGGAUCGGCCACACGGGAACUGAGACACGGUCCAGACGCCUACGGGAGGCAGCAGUAGGGAAUCUGCCGCAAUGGGCGAAAGCCUGACGGAGCAACGCCGCGUGAGUGAUGAAGGUCUUCGGAUCGUAAAACUCUGUUAUUAGGGAAGAACAAAUGUGUAAGUAACUAUGCACGUCUUGACGGUACCUAAUCAGAAAGCCACGGCUAACUACGUG